rnacentral:rRNA from 1 species
AUUGAACGCUGGCGGCAGGCCUAACACAUGCAAGUCGAGCGGAUGAAGGGAGCUUGCUCCUGGAUUCAGCGGCGGACGGGUGAGUAAUGCCUAGGAAUCUGCCUGGUAGUGGGGGAUAACGUCCGGAAACGGGCGCUAAUACCGCAUACGUCCUGAGGGAGAAAGUGGGGGAUCUUCGGACCUCACGCUAUUAGAUGAGCCUAGGUCGGAUUGGCUAGUUGGUGGGGUAAAGGCCUACCAAGGCGACGAUCCGUAGCUGGUCUGAGAGGAUGAGCAGCCACACUGGAACUGAGACACGGUCCAGACUCCUACGGGAGGCAGCAGUGGGGAAUAUUGGACAAUGGGCGAAAGCCUGAUCCAGCCAUGCCGCGUGUGUGAAGAAGGUCUUCGGAUUGUAAAGCACUUUAAGUUGGGAGGAAGGGCAGUAAGUUAAUACCUUGCUGUUUUGACGUUACCAACAGAAUAAGCACCGGCUAACUUCGUG